GAUGAACGCUGGCGGCGUGCCUAAUACAUGCAAGUCGAACGGAGAACAUCGUAGCAAUACUUUGUUCUUAGUGGCGAACGGGUGAGUAACGCGUUGGUGACCUGCCCCGAAGAGGGGGAUAACAGUCCGAAAGGACUGCUAAUACCCCAUGUGGUCUCAGGGAUUAGAUGCCCUGAGUCUAAAGGAGUAAUCCACUUUGGGAGGGACCUGCGUCCCAUCAGCUAGUUGGUAAGGUAACGGCCUACCAAGGCUUCGACGGGUAGGGGACCUGAGAGGGUGGUCAGCCGCACGGGGACUGAGACACUGCCCCGACUCCUACGGGAGGCAG
rnacentral:rRNA from 1 species